GGGAAUUUCAACAAUGUCCCCCAAGGGGAAUCUGAUUUCGUUGAGUUGAAAUCCAAUUGCUCUAAGGUUUUAUUGCGCUACCGCUCUCAAAACUUGGAAUACAGAUACAC